CGGCCGGGGCGGGAAGGGCGGGGAAAGUUGGCUCCCGAGUUGGGCACCGGUUCAUUAGCAUUUAAAGGCGCCCGCUGCCCUUUUCAGCCCGCGACGCGCCCGGGACGGAGCGCGGGCCGCGCCGGAAAGAAAAGCGCAGCGGGGUGAGCGAGCGCGGGGCCUGGGACCGGCAGUCUGCGCGGAGCGCGCGCUGCAGCCCCGCGGUGGGAGCCGGGCGGGGGCGCGCUCCUCCCGCGCGAUGUCCUGACACCUGGAACCGGCCUUCGGGAGAGGGAACUGGCCGUGCAUCGCAGGUCCGCUGCGCUGCUCGCUCCCAAACGCUGGCUUUUUAAGUCCUCUGCAUUUGCUCAUUCAACAUUUAUGAAGCACCAGAAACGAUUUCUGAUACAGCAAUUAAGAACUGAAAUAAUAAAAAUCUUAACACGAUUUGGCUACCUUAGUCCUGAAAGGUAAUUCACGGAUAAUUUCGUCUAUAAACCGCAGGAAGACUGUGGUGGUUGGCUCUGAAGGUACUCUCAGAAGCUCUGAGCAGUCUAAGCAUAACAUGGAGCCCUUGAGGUAGUAGCAUUUCAGGAGAUGGAACUUUAAGGAUUCAGAUUUGAAAUGGAAAAUUUCUGAAAAAUCCGUGGGAAUCAAGUUAAGGAAGACAGCAGAAGCCGUAUUAUCAAGUGACCGUUUUAAUAACAGGAAUACAAUGAAGUCAGUGAUAAAUCAUACAGAGGAAGUGUUCUGCUGGAAGCAACCCAUCAGAUAAAAGACUGGAGGCCCAUCGUGUGUAGCAGCAAUACUAGUAUUGUUCUUUACGAACUAUGCAAGUGGUGAGAACCCCCAGAUUUCUCUAAAAGAAGGGAGAGGAUAACUCCUACUUAAAGAUGCUUUCCUUCUUUCUUUUAGCUAUCCUGCUGACUUUGAACACAGCACAGCAAAAAGCUCAAGACCAAGAGCGUCAAGUCUGUUAUGAUGACAGAGGUAUGACAUUGGGACUGUGAUGAAGAAAAAUCUGCCAUAUUAUACAGUAUGAAAACAUGGAUGAAAUAAUAUUCCUUAUGGACAAUGAAAAAUCAGCAACAUAAUAAGAAUCAUAACUUUUGUGCUAUAUAUUCAGUGAAUUACUAGAAUUGAGAUGGGUGAAAAAAAAUCUUGCAAUAUGUAAGUACAAUGCUUUCAUAAAACAGCAUUGUAAGCUACUCCCAAACUUUAAAAUCCUCCAGGACUAUUACUCUCCCUAUCAAAGGUAAAAAAAGGUUAUAAGGGAAAAUGGAAAAUGAGCUUUGAUUUAAUACUUGGUUGAUUCUAUAAUUCUAUUUUUCUUCUUUUUUCCGUUAGAAAGUCAAUUCAUACUACAAGAUAAGUUUUAUUUAAUUUUUAAUUUUCUAUAUAUUUUUUAUUGGGUCCUGCAUUCCUGUUCUAAGGCAUAAUGAUCAAAGGGAAUACCCUUUUCAUAUGUUGAAUUUUGUUACAUCAGAAAGUGUCAAAAUACAUAGAAUCAUUGUGACAGUUUAGCAUGCCUCCUGGAAGUCAUUAACUACUGACGAUCUUUACUUCCUCUCAGUCCUGGUGAAAGUUUGAUCAAUGUAUCUUGAAUGGCAGUAAAUGU